UAAAAUUUAUUUUUAUAUGUAAAAUUUCUCGAAAUUUAAAGAGCUAAUAAAUUAUAUAUAUUAAUGUAGAAUAAUUAUUUAUAAUAAUUUUUUUGAGGUUAGACGUCAUACGUGUUAAAUUAUAUCUAGUUUCUUAAGAAAUAAAUUUAAUUUAUUUUAUUUUUAAUUUAGUUUAAUGAAAAAUAAAAAUUUAAAAAUAAAGAAAUUUUCUAGGGGAUAAGCUUUAGGAAAAAUUAUUAUACUUAUAAUUUAUUUUAUAAAAUGUAGGAUUAGAAGGUUUUAUCAUUAAAAGAGGGUUAUACCUAAUUAUAAAUUUAUUAGAUUUUUAUUAAGUUAAAUUUUAUAUUAAGAUUAUUAAAAAAAUUUUAGAUUUGAUGGAAUAAUGAUAAAAUUAGUAUAAAAAAUUAUAUAACUAUAGUUUUGAAAAUUAAAUUAAUUAAAGGAAUUCGGCAAAAUAAUUUUCUGCCUGUUUAUUAAAAACAUGUCUUUUUGAGUUAAUUUAAGGUCUGACCUGCCCUAUGAUUUAUUUAAAUGGCCGCGGUAUUUUGACCGUGCAAAGGUAGCAUAAUCAUUAGUUUUUUUAUUGAAAGCUGGAAUGAAUGGUUGGACAAGAAAAUUACUGUCUCUAUUUAAAUUUUAAAAUUUUAUUUUUUAGUUAAAAAGCUUAAAUGUGUUUAAGGGACGAGAAGACCCUAUAGAAUUUUAUAAUAAAAUUAAUUUUAAAAAUAAGGGUUUAAUAUUUUUUAAUUAAUUAAUUAUUUUGUUGGGGUGAUAGAAAAAUAUUAAAAACUUUUUUUAAAUUAAUACAUUGAUUUAUGAAUUUUUGAUCCAUUAUUUAUGAUUAUAAGAUUAAAUUACCUUAGGGAUAACAGCGUAAUUAAUUUGGAGAGUUCUUAUUGAUAAAUUAGUUUACGACCUCGAUGUUGGAUUAAAAUUUACUGUAGGUGCAAAAGUUUAUAGGUUAAGUCUGUUCGACUUUUAAAAUUUU
rnacentral:rRNA from 1 species